rnacentral:rRNA from 1 species
CCUACGGGAGGCUGCAGUAGGGAAUAUUGGACAAUGGGCGAAAGCCUGAUCCAGCCAUGCCGCGUGAGUGAUGAAGGCCUUAGGGUUGUAAAGCUCUUUCGGCGGGGACGAUAAUGACGGUACCUGCAGAAGAAGCCCCGGCUAACUUCGUUCCAGCAGCCCCGGUAACACGCAGGGGGCUAGCGUUGUUCGGAAUCACUGGGCGUAAAGCGGAUUCAGGCGGAUCGUUAAGUCGGGGGUGAAAGCCCGAGGCUCAACCUCGGAACUGCCUUCGAUACUGGCGAUCUUGAGUCCGGGAGAGGUGAGUGGAACUGCGAGUGUAGAGGUGAAAUUCGUAGAUAUUCGCAAGAACACCAGUGGCGAAGGCGGCUCACUGGCCCGGUACUGACGCUGAGAUGCGAAAGCGUGGGGAGCAAACAGGAUUAGAUACCCGAGUAGUC